AUUGAACGCUGGCGGCAGGCCUAACACAUGCAAGUCGAGCGGCAGCGGGAAAGUAGCUUGCUACUUUUGCCGGCGAGCGGCGGACGGGUGAGUAAUGCCUGGGGAUCUGCCCAGUCGAGGGGGAUAACAGUUGGAAACGACUGCUAAUACCGCAUACGCCCUACGGGGGAAAGGAGGGGACCUUCGGGCCUUUCGCGAUUGGAUGAACCCAGGUGGGAUUAGCUAGUUGGUGGGGUAAUGGCUCACCAAGGCGACGAUCCCUAGCUGGUCUGAGAGGAUGAUCAGCCACACUGGAACUGAGACACGGUCCAGACUCCUACGGGAGGCAGCAGUGGGGAAUAUUGCACAAUGGGGGAAACCCUGAUGCAGCCAUGCCGCGUGUGUGAAGAAGGCCUUCGGGUUGUAAAGCACUUUCAGCGAGGAGGAAAGGUUGGCGCCUAAUACGUGUCAACUGUGACGUUACUCGCAGAAGAAGCA
rnacentral:rRNA from 2 species